GAUGAACGCUGGCGGCGUGCCUAAUACAUGCAAGUCGAGCGAACAGACGAGGAGCUUGCUCCUCUGACGUUAGCGGCGGACGGGUGAGUAACACGUGGAUAACCUACCUAUAAGACUGGGAUAACUUCGGGACACCGGAGCUAAUACCGGAUAAUAUAUUGAACCGCAUGGUUCCAUAGUGAAAGACGGUUUUGCUGUCACUUAUAGAUGGAUCCGCGCCGCAUUAGCUAGUUGGUAAGGUAACGGCUUACCAAGGCAACGAUGCGUAGCCGACCUGAGAGGGUGAUCGCCCACACUGGAACUGAGACACGGUCCAGACUCCUACGGGAGGCAGCAGUAGGGAAUCUUCCGCAAUGGGCGAAAGCCUGACGGAGCAACGCCGCGUGAGUGAUGAAGGUCUUCGGAUCGUAAAACUCUGUUAUUAGGGAAGAACACAUGUGUAAGUAACUAUGCACGUCUUGACGGUACCUAAUCAGAAAGCCACGGCUAACUACGUG
rnacentral:rRNA from 1 species